GGGAAUGUGGCCUAUUGAAUUUCUGUUAUUUAAUUUAUUGAGAUUUUCUUCAUUUCUGACCCUCCAGACUCCUCUGUCCCUGGGGAUUCUCCAGGCAAGAAUACUGGAGUGUUUGCCACUCCCUCCUCCAGGGGACCUUCCUGAUGCAGGGAUCGAACCGACCGACGUCUCCUGUGUUGCAGGCAGAUUCUUUACCAUUUGAGCCACCAGGGAAGCCUGACCAUAUGAUUAUUUGCUGGAAAUUACCUACGGCAGCUGAGUCACCCACCUCCCCGCGGAAGCCUGCUGGCUGUUUCCAAGGCCUUCCUCAUCAUUCAAACCACGAUGCGGCCACAGGAAUACCAAAAGCGACACUUGAUGGCUGUGGAAGAUUUUCAUCCUCACAGGUCGUGAAUGCCUUCUGUUUAUCACCUGCACUGAGGAUUUACGACUGUCUCAGUGUCGUAUUUCUAGCUGCUGUACUCUGAAGGAAAGCAUCCUGCCCUGAGGUAAGGACACAUUCUUUAUUCAUAGUGAAAAUGAAAGCGAGUAAAGGGCAAGAUUUUUUU
rnacentral:lncRNA from 1 species